CAGCAGUAGCCGCGGUAAUACAGAGGGUGCGAGCGUUAAUCGGAUUUACUGGGCGUAAAGCGUGCGUAGGCGGCUUUUUAAGUCGGAUGUGAAAUCCCUGAGCUUAACUUAGGAAUUGCAUUCGAUACUGGGAAGCUAGAGUAUGGGAGAGGAUGGUAGAAUUCCAGGUGUAGCGGUGAAAUGCGUAGAGAUCUGGAGGAAUACCGAUGGCGAAGGCAGCCAUCUGGCCUAAUACUGACGCUGAGGUACGAAAGCAUGGGGAGCAAACAGGAUUAGAUACCCCCGUAGUCCCUGUCUCUUAUAA
rnacentral:rRNA from 1 species